ACUUAAAUAAUUUAAAAAAAAUAUUGAUUUGUGGAGUCAAAAAUAUGGUAAAGUAAGUCAUUUUAAGUU
rnacentral:tRNA from 1 species